rnacentral:rRNA from 1 species
UACGUAGGGGGCAAGCGUUGUCCGGAAUCAUUGGGCGUAAAGCGCGUGUAGGCGGCCUUGUAAGUCCGUUCUGAAAGCCCGGGGCUCAACCCCGGGAGGCGGAUGGAUACUGCAAGGCUCGAGUACGGAAGAGGCGAGUGGAAUCCCGGUGUAGCGGUGAAAUGCGCAGAUAUCGGGAGGAACACCAAUGGCGAAGGCAGCUCGCUGGGACGUUACGUGACGCUGAGACGCGAAAGCGUGGGGAGCAAC